rnacentral:tRNA from 1 species
GGGCGAAUAGCUCAGUUGGGAGAGCGCCGCGUUCGCAACGCGGAGGUCGAGGGUUCGAACCCCUUUUCGUCCACCA